AUCCAGCUGACGAGUCUUAAAUAGGACGAAACGCGUGUCGUGGAU
rnacentral:hammerhead_ribozyme from 1 species